CGGGGGCUCCCAGCCCAUUCCACCUGCUUCACUCCAUUUGCUCCUUUGGAGCCAAGCUCAUGGAGCCAUGGUGGGUUUUCAACAGCACUGCAUUGUCCUGCUACCCUCAGGACUGAGGGGCAGCAAGACCUCUUGGUUACCACGCAGGUUAUAAAGAGAGGCCUCUUUGUGUCAGCCCUCCCAGGGUGUGCCACAUUAGAGUAGUCUCUCCCCAUCAUGAGAUAGCUGUGGAAUUUAGGGAACAAGGCUGUGUCCUUUGACUUCGGGCAUGCCUUCAGCAUAGCUGCCCAAGUUCACUCUGCAAGUAUGCCUUUAAAAUGGUCUGGUUUUCAAACCAUAUUUCUUUUCCUCCUUGCCCAGCCGCCUGCCUCACUUGAGAGACGGAGCAAACAAAGACACGCAGGACCAACCUCCAAAUCCUUGCCUAUAGAAGCUUCUCAGUUUACUUUCAGAGAAAUCACAACUGGGACGCUGGGAUUCUGUGCUGGAAUUCUAACUGUUGAUGACGCAACACCCCAUGUUCAAUCUAGUUCAGGCACUAUGUGACAUUCCUCCUGAAUAGAAGAGCCAUUUUACAAGUCAGCUAACAUCCAAAUGUGAACAAAUCAGCCCACAGGAAGAGAGGAAGCAAAACUGUCACCCGGGAAUUUUACAAUGACAAGGAGAUUUCCAAAACUGUUAUAAAGAGAUUAUUCUGAGCAGAAAACGAAAACGGUAAGUCCUUGACGUCAGCGGAGCGGAAGGAGAGGGUACAAAAUGGAGUGUCCAUGCUUCCUAACAACCUGCCAUGGAGCGUGGACUUUGCAUUAGGGAGCUUUGAAUGCGGGAUGGGCAAGAACUCAAGUUUUGACCUUGGCUAUCGAAGCUUGUUGGAGGCUGGCUAGCAGAGAAGCAAAUGGCCGUGAGCAGAAACAUAAUAUGGAGCAGGUACUAUUCACCCAUCUAUCGAGGUUAGAAGGUAUUCUCAUUAUCUAAGACCUCAGCUCUGCAUUCAUCAUUUAUAGACAUCUUCAUUGAUAUGUGCUAAGCAUGGCAUUAGGCAUCCCUUCAUGAGAGACUAAAAACAGAGGGGACAUAAGUUUUGUCCAUAAGGAACUGGGCAGUCUAGUAGAGAACAUAAAGUGUGCUAAGGCCUUUGGCACAGGCCAGAACCACCGCCACCUGCUGCUGUAUGAAGGCCAACCAGACUGCAAGCAUCUUUAACACAAGAUUGUAUUUUCUUUUUUUAAAGAUUUAUUUUAAUUAUUUUCAGUGUGUGUGUGUGACAUGCACAAACAUAUGUGAAUGCAGGUUUUGGCAGAGGCCAGAGGCAUCAGAUUUCCCAGGAGCUGCAGUUACAAGUGCCUGUGAGCUGUACUACAUGGAUACUGGGAACUAAACUUUGUUUUUUGUUUAUUUUUCACAAGAAUAGUAUGUGCUCAUCUUCUGCAAGAACAGCACACGCUCUUAACCACUGAGCAAUCUCUAUUUCGACCCACCCCCAAGAUUGUAUUUCCUACACAUUAUCUUUCAAGGCAGUACUUUGCAUACAAUAAGAGCACAAUCACUGGUGUUUGAACUAGCCAAGGAAGAAUCUUAUUCUGCAACACAAAGUUUCCCAGAGAGACAGAGAAGUCAGAAACCCACUGUGACUGGGGGACUGAGGAAAGACUUCAUAGAGUAGGUGGUUAUGAAGUUGACCGACCCCUUCAAAGGGAACCAUACUCAAGAAAAAAAAAAAAUGGGCUUCCUGUGCCAUGAAUAGAUAGAUGUAGGUUCUAGUUUGGAGAUGUGUUCUUUCUUCCCCGUCUCCUAGGGAUCCCUUGGGUACAGAUUCAGUUCUGACUUGUACAUCUUUUUAAAUGGUUUACUCUUAAAGCAUUGAAAGUCCCAGCCUUCCUUUCCCUUGGCAUCAAUGAAAGGAGUUCACUUCACCGCUCUUUCCCCAGCAGAGGGACCGAUGUUAGUUUAUUCGUUCGUCACUGUUGUUCAGAGAUCGGCUGACAAACACAGAUACAUUUGAAGAUGGGAAACAAAGACAGGGAAAUGCACCCUGUUUAGGAAAGCCAAGCCUCCCAAAGAGAAGACAAGAGGCUGCCGAGUAGACCUGUGUUUUAACUUGUAAUCCCUCUUGCUCCCAGCUUGUAGCCAGCUAACUCUCUUUCACACCCUAUUUUGAUUUUCCUCUGUCAGGAAUCAUAACAAUGCCCUCAGGGGAUGCUCCAUGUAUGUCAGGGAACAGCAAGAGUUUACAUGAGGGACCUUUACAGAGGGAAGCCCAUUGACAGGCAGAGUCUCCCAGGGAUCUUGCAGGUCACCACCUGCAAGUAGAGAAACUAGCUUUUUAUUAAUUGCUGAACCUUAUGAAAUUGCCAUUAAAAAAAAAUUGUGGGCCAACAAAUGGUUGAUUAGCAGCAGUUUUAUACAGUUCAAACCAACAAUUUUGUUGACCAAUUAGUCUAUCACCUAGGAAAACAAACCUUAACCCUUUCGGUUUUACUAUUCCCAUUUUCUCUCCCGUCCCCUCCUUUCUCCUCUUUCGCUUCUUCUGUCUUUUGAGUCUAAGCUUGGCAUUGACCUCUGUGAGUGAAGCAGAUGUGCUCCAUCGCAAACAUUUAGUAAUGUGGCUCUCGGCACAGGAAGAGCUCAGCAGAAUCUCAGUGCAGGAGCACCGAUGAGUGCUCAGUGCAGCAUAUUCUCACCUCCAUCUCAGAGCCACGCCCACCUGGACCAGUCUACAGAGUUGCCAGGAAGCCGACCCAAGAUCUGCAGUCAGCUAAGGUCAUUGUCUUUAGCGUGUGUUUAGAAACUGUGUUGUAGGACACUAUUCCUGAGGAGAUGUCAUUUGUAAAUGUCCACUCACCCCAGACAGGGAACCAACGAAAGGCAAACUAUGGCUGCUGCCGGAGUCUGAGUUGGUGGGCCAGUGAGUUUUAUUUGGGUUGCUCGAAGGAAUACGGAGUACGGGUAAAGGUUACGUGUGGGAGUGGAAAGGACUCACAGACAGCUGUUCUCCAAAACCCCACCACAACCUAAGUGACAGCUCAUAAGAGUGGGACUGGAGCACACUGCACACAUUGAAGGCAUCUCAACGGUUGGGGAGUGUCCUUCCCACCUCAGUCUGAGCCUCUUCUAGGAAGCUCUGCCUUCCCGAGAAUGUGACUUAGGAGUCCUCACAAUACAUUCUUGGGGAUAGAGAGGCCUAAUGAAUCUGGUUAGUUUCAGGGUCUUCCUGAAGUUUUUGAGUUUUUAUUUCCCCGUAAGAUGGGAUGUUUCACCUCCUGUCUUGAAGAUCUUCUCUUCAAGACAGGUGAUUAAUCCCAGAGAAAUUGUUACACAACAUACAGAAAAAAAUGCCUUUUUAUUUCCGUCCUUUCUACCCACAGACUCCUUUCCUUUCUUCUUCCUCUCCAACAAAAUUACUGUGCUCUGAAAGUUUGGACUUUUGGAAAGCAAAAGCCAAAAAUCCUUAGAGACUUCCUACUUUUUGUAGGGAAGAAAAAAGGAACUUUCCCUGGAGCCAGUGAGAGCUGAGCUCUUAAGUAGGACAGGCACGGUGAGAGGAAAUGCGGAGAGAAAAAAUACUGUCCCACACACUUAGUUACAAAGAGAAUAUCUGUUCGCAAGGUAGGGCUCAGAAAUGUAAAAGAACAUUAUCUCCCGUGCGAGGUCCAGCUUCAGCUUUCCUGAUGACUUAGAGAACAACAAAAGCCUAAAGUGUUUGUUCCCGGAAUCGUUUACCUCCAAGUCCCGGUCUUCAGGGGAGGUGAAUUUGCUCAGCCACACCCUGCCGGGAGAGUGAAUCUUGAGAGGGCUUUCCAGUUGGAUUUGUGUUGGUUCCUACCUUGUCUGAACUGGCCUAUUACAAAUAAUCCUAUGAAAGGAGCAGGAAUCGUUUCCAGACCUGGAAGCGGGGGAGCAGAGCAGGACCGGCCAAGGCUCCUGAGUCACAAUUCUCCUCCACCAACGCCCCCCGCGGCCCCCAGCCAUUGCGACCUUUUCAAGCUCCUUGCUAGCCUCUUCCUUCGCCACUGUUCACACGUGGGGGCAGCGCUGGCCGAUGUGUAAACCUCAUUUUUCACUCGGCUUUGAUUCCCCGGCACCCAGGUGAAGGAGGUGGCUACUUGGAACGCCAUCUUCGGGAGCCCUGCCUUUUGUUAUGCACCACUGACAGCAAAUACUUCAAGACUGAGUCAGAGCCGCUGCCUUUGUGGAGGUCGCCCGCCCGCCCGGGGCUGCCUUGUCUCCAGUGGUGUCCUUGCCAGGCUGCCAAGGAAGCCCUUGCUGGGCCAGCUGGGAACACACUGCCUGUCGGAAGAGCAUCCCAUUCAGGAGCUGCAGUUUGUGCCAGGGUUCGACAGUCCCCACAAAGGCGCCCAGGGGACGACCCAGAGAAGGAAAUGAACAACAAAAACCCCGAAGCCUGGCUGACAUACACUGCCCGGAGCUUUCUGUCACAGCAUGCUGACUUCUGGCAACUGGCAACCAGACACAGGGCCACACAAGAGGAAUAUGUUUCAAUGAGGAAAAUGUUGUGCCAGAUAAGAAACGAGAUGUAAUAAGAAAGCUGGAGCGAGGUAUUCUGUGGAGUUAGGAAGUUAGGUCAUAAAAUAUUUAUGGGAAAAUUCUUCACUUGGGGACGAGAGUCUGAUUGUUGAAGAAGCUUGGGUGAGGGUGGGAGGCAGAAGUAGUCUUUACCGAGUUAAGACACGCUCCUUUGGUAGUGCCUCGGUGUGUAAGAGGAGGUGAGAGCAUUUUGGCCUGCUAUGAGGAAAACGUUUCAGAGAAAAGAAAUGAGGCAGGCCAAGUCUGGUUGGUGGGAUCAAGACCCGAGCAGAUGAAAACUAAACCAACCGCCAUGAGAGUCUUCUACAGGGCCUCGGAAGGAGGGGAUGCGGCGCCCUGUUACUCAUCUGACCAUACAAUCUCUGUGAAUGAGAGAAGAACGGGUUCUGGGCCAAACCUUAGGAGUCGAAAGACGGUACUGAAAGGCACCUUUGCCUCAUGAGUGUGGCACUCAAAGGUGCUGAACAAAACCAGGAAAACCUUCUAUUGCUAUUGAUUUGGUUCCACAAUUAUACAGUUGUCAAAUGUGAGGUCAUAGAUUCAACAAGCUUUUCCACUUACAGGAAAGAAAACUGCUUGAGAGGAAUUUAACCUUUUUGAGCGCUUUUUUCUUCUUCUAACUUUAUUGAAUUUGCUUCUUGACAAUUUCAUACACGUAUAAAGUAUAUUCCAAUUA